rnacentral:rRNA from 1 species
AUGGCUCAGGACGAACGCUGGCGGCGUGCCUAACACAUGCAAGUCGAGCGAUGAAAUCCUUCUGGAUGGAUUAGCGGCGGACGGGUGAGUAACACGUGGGUAACCUGCCUUGUAGAGGGGGAUAGCCUUCCGAAAGGAAGAUUAAUACCGCAUAACAUCUUUUUAUCGCAUGGUAGAAAGAUCAAAGGAGCAAUCCGCUACAAGAUGGACCCGCGGCGCAUUAGCUAGUUGGUGAGGUAACGGCUCACCAAGGCGACGAUGCGUAGCCGACCUGAGAGGGUGAUCGGCCACAUUGGAACUGAGACACGGUCCAGACUCCUACGGGAGGCAGCAGUGGGGAAUAUUGCGCAAUGGGGGGAAAAACCCCCUGACGCAGCAACGCCGCGUGAAUGAAGAAGGCCUUAGGGUUGUAAAGUUCUGUUACGGAACGACUAAUCCGACGGUACCGUGGACGUAGGCCACGGCUACUACGUGCCAGCAGCCGC